GGGAGAGGGUAGUUGCCGAUUCGCUGCCGUAUUUGACCCAGACUGAGAAGCGAAGAAACUUUGAUUCCAGAAAGGGAGAGGAGAGAGGGGAAGAAGACGCCAGAGUCGCAACCCGCCGCAGAUCUCCUCCGUCCUCCGCGCCCAGCCCCGCUCUGUCCUCCAUGGAGUGCGUCCGCUCCGGAGCUCUUGAUCUGGGGCGCUCCGGGAAUUUCUUGGGGAAGAGCGGCUCCACGACGUCAUGUGGUAAAGUCAGAUGUUCUACAAACCUUGCUGGUUCUACCAAAUGCGAGCAAAACUUGCAUGGGAAGGUUAAACCCUUGCUGUUGUCAGCAAGUGGAAAAGCAAGGGGAACCUCUGGUUUGGUUCACAGAAGUGCAGUACUUAAACAUCAGCACCAUCUUUCUGUGAGAUCCACCUCUACCGAUGUAUGUACUACUUUUGAUGAAGAUGUCAAAGGUGUAUCUUCACAUGCUGUUGAGGAAAAGAUUGGAGUGCUGUUACUAAAUCUUGGUGGUCCAGAGACCCUCAAUGAUGUUCAACCAUUUUUGUUCAACCUCUUUGCUGAUCCAGAUAUCAUCCGACUCCCUAGGCUGUUCAGGUUUCUUCAAAGACCACUGGCCAAACUUAUUUCUACUUUUAGAGCUCCUAAGAGUAAAGAGGGGUAUGCCUCAAUUGGUGGUGGAUCACCUCUGCGGAAAAUUACCGACGAGCAGGCAAAUGCUUUGAAGGUUGCACUAAAAAGUAAGAACUUGGAAGCAGAUAUAUAUGUUGGAAUGCGUUAUUGGUACCCAUUCACCGAAGAAGCCAUCGAUCAGAUUAAGAAGGAUAAAAUUACGAAGCUUGUGGUUCUUCCACUAUACCCUCAAUACUCCAUAUCAACAAGCGGGUCUAGUAUCCGCGUUCUCCAAAACAUUGUCAAGGAAGAUCAAUACUUUGCUGGCUUGCCAAUUUCCAUUAUUGAAUCUUGGUACCAGCGCGAGGGCUAUGUGAAAUCAAUGGCUGACUUAAUUGAGAAGGAACUAUCAGUUUUUACGAAUCCUGAAGAGGUUAUGAUAUUCUUCAGUGCACAUGGAGUACCACUUACCUAUGUUAAGGAUGCUGGAGAUCCAUACAGAGAUCAGAUGGAAGACUGCAUUGCUUUGAUCAUGGAGGAGUUGAAAUCCAGAGGAACCUUGAAUGACCAUACUCUGGCUUACCAGAGUCGCGUGGGACCAGUUCAAUGGCUUAAGCCAUAUACUGAUGAAGUUUUAGUUGAACUUGGUCAAAAGGGUGUAAAGAGUCUCCUGGCUGUCCCAGUAAGCUUCGUUAGCGAGCAUAUUGAGACACUGGAGGAAAUCGACAUGGAGUACAGGGAGUUGGCUCUAGAGUCGGGCAUUGAGAACUGGGGCAGGGUUCCAGCUCUUGGAUGCACUUCAUCCUUCAUCUCGGAUCUUGCUGAUGCUGUCGUCGAAGCCCUUCCAUCUGCCUCUGCGAUGACGACCAGAAAGGUCAAGGAUACUGACUCUGACAUGGAUAUGAUGCAUUACCUGACCAAGAUGUUCUUCGGCUCGGUCCUGGCCUUCUUCCUGCUGUUAUCACCGAGGCUAGUUUCCGCUUUCCGGAAUACUCUUCAUUGAGCUGCUUAUUUUUAUCGAUGCUCCGUGGUUAACCAUUUUGGCGAUUGUAACUAGAAACCGUAUACAGGAUAAUAUCUGGGCGAGAAAGAAAGGAAGAGUUUGUUUCACUUAUGUCUUGCCCAUAACAUAUCGACAUGCCCGUUGUAUGAAGGAGUCAUGUACCACCAGCAUGUAUAAUGGCAGAUGCUUAUAUACUGGCGCUUAAAAGGGUACAUGGUCACAUCGUUUACCAUGUACGUCAGUUUUGUUUAAUCUUUUGCGAACCUCUCUUUGGGUUCUUAUAAAUAAUUAUAUUCCCCGUUAAUUAGUGCUAGUUUAUAU
rnacentral:rRNA from 1 species